rnacentral:lncRNA from 1 species
CACAGAGGAAACCACCAUGCAAACAACCUGAAACUGGUAUUUUUCGUUUCUUUUUGGUGAGUCAACUGCUAAUAUCAAUCAUAUAAACAAUUUUAAACAUAAGAUAAAGUGUUGUUGCUCACAAGGAAGCUAUUCAAUCAAGAGUCCCAAAUGGUAAAGUUGAAAUCAUCUCUUCGUAAAUUUUACAGGACGCCAUCACGAGUUGGUUGACCAUUAUGGAAUAACCGUUUCACAAAUUAUAUCGGAUAUGUUCCUUACGUCGUAAUUACAGUCCCC